rnacentral:lncRNA from 1 species
AUUAGACCAAAACACUUAGAAUAUUUUUAGUUUAUUUUGCUUUCCAAUUAUAAGCUUUUAAAGUUUUAAUUAGGCAUUUGGUGUGCUUAUUUUCGUGCAAAUAAAGAGCUGAGCAAGGGAGAGGAAAACAACUGAUCACAAAACAGCUGAUCACUCUUAAUGUGUGAUCAUACCUUCCUUAAUUGGCCACCAAGUGAAUAUUGGCUGGUCAAUGCUAAUUAUUAGCAAUAAUGAGCGAGAUUUGGCUCAGUUUUUAGCUUUUGUAAUUCUCCUAUUUAAGGGGACGAAAAUCAAUGAAUAAA